GGCCGGCUGGCGUAAUGGUAACGCGUCCGUUUCCGGCUCCUUUCACCGGAUUCUUUAAUGGAUUUAUGUUUCAAAAUAUGAAUUCUGAAUUUGUCAUGCGGAAGAUUUGCAGGUUCGAGCCCUGCGUCGGUCG
rnacentral:tRNA from 1 species